UUUUACUCUCACCAAUAAGGUUAGUGUGCCUCCAGAUUUAUCAACUGCGCCUGAUAGCCUCUAUACUCCUGUGGAAACAGCAACAACAUUCUUCCCUUCCACUUUAGAAUGUUUCGCAGAACCGGAAGGCAAGAUAGUAAUCUUCUUUUGAUUCCACGUGAAUAUGUAUGAAUUCUCCUUUCCCUUAUACAAAGCAUCAAUAUCAAAUUGCCAAGGGCGACCUAGCAAAAUUUCACAGCAAUCCAUAUCCAC
rnacentral:lncRNA from 1 species